CCUAUUGAUGUUUUGGAGCAUUUAUGUCUGCAGUUUAAGUGCUGGAGUUCAAAGAAUUGGGCAUAGUGAAUACAGUGGGGCAUUUAAGUGCUGGAGUUCAAAGAAUUGGGCAUAGUGAAUACAGUGGGGCAGAAGCUUGUUUCAUGAAGAAACACCAUGAACACAGGCAUGGACUCUACUGAUAGCAUCGCAUGAUCGCCAGGUUCGCUUGUGACUUAUUCUUCUCACUUUUUAUCUUCAGUAAACAGUUGUGUCUUCUUCGUUCAAUCUUUGGCUCCUUCUUUCUCUCUCUCUGGUAAACUAGUCAAUCUUCUUGUUUUUGCAUAUGACCUUAACUUCUAUAGCAUUUUGAUUUUUUUCAUCUGUAACUUCUAAUUUUGGCAUCAUAUCCAUUGGUGGCAAGGUUAGUCUAUUGUGACAGCUUAGAAAGUUAUGUGAGAGGCAUACUGUUUAUGUAGUCCUAAUGUUUUCAGCUCUUACGCCGGAGAUAAGAUCUUGGAGCUCUUCAAUAUAUUGUGUCUGAGUUAUCUUAAGAGCAGGCCCCUCAUAGACUUCUCCAUCUUCAUUGCGAGUACUUUUAGAGUUUCUUGGAGAUGGCAAUGAUCGUGAAAUCUGGCUUACCAUAUUUGUUCAAGUGGUUGGUGGUUUCAAAGCAUCAAUCAGCUUUCUACUGCGGUGACUUAAAA
rnacentral:lncRNA from 1 species